UAUUUGGUUGGACCAAACUAUGUAAGCCUGCCUACGUAUCCUUUUUUAAAGGAAUUAGGUCAAACGUAGUUCAAACAUCUGACCUAACUAUUUUUUAUCUUUCUUUCUAUUUCUUUUUUUUUUCUUUCUGUUCGCCCCAACUUCUAUUUUCUGGGGGCAUGGGCCUUUGACUGUUCUUUUCUUCUUCUUUUUUAUUUGAACUUUCUAAGAGUUGCCCCAGUUUGUACUCUUGGGACAUGGACUUUUCGAUUCAUUUUUUUUUCAUUUUUUUUUUAUUUCAAUUUUUUUUUUUUUUUGAAUUUUAACUCAAAAAAUGAUUCCAAAAGAGGGUGAUCAAAGAAAAUAACACAUGCUCAAAAGGGGUAGCGAAGGGUAUAAGGUGUUUGGAUAACCAAAAAAGGGCCUCCCAGCCUCAAAAAUGUCAAUCAUGUAUCCUUUCGUGAUCACAACAUUGAUCAACAUGUUGCUGUCUUCUUGGUGUGUCGUGGUCGAAAGACACUUUCCAUCCAUUAAUGUCAAACUUUCCACCAAACUUCAGUUGAUUCUUCCUCAAACCCGACCUUCACAAUCAUUUGAAAGUAAAAAUCAUUAACCUCCACCGGUAUGACUAUUCUAGUUCCACAUGAAUUUUACUCCAACUUAAUUUCAAAGUGUUUUGACUCUUUAUUCAUCCUCUAAAGUGUCUUUUCUCAGUUAUCCAAUUCAAGAUUAAAUCGGUUUUCUAAGAUCUGGCCAAAAAUUCUGUAUGCAUGUCAUGUCACUAGAACUAGUGGCGAAAGAACUAAGUAUAGAAUGACACAAAAGGACAAACUGCAUUUCAUUGAAUAACAGAUGAAAGGAUUUGACGACAAGACAAAGAAACUGAAAUCUGGGUUACAACCCUGGAUAGCCUAAAUAAUAGAAAAGAUGACAAAAUAAGCUACCAAGACUCCUCCCUGGCUAAAAGGGGAGUGACUUUCCAGUUGCUAAGCGAUAUCUUAGCCACAAAUUUGCACAUCAGCACUACUACAACAUUCAAUUCCCAUGUCUCCCCAUCAUCAAAUCAUCCCGAGCAGACCAUGUUUUAUUGCUCAAAUCUAGUAAAGUCAACCCCACAUUUACCUUUAUUUUUGAUUUUUCACCGCCAACUUGCCUACUUGCCUUUUCGUGACCUUAGUUGGAACAAUAAUAGUAGUUUUUGUUCCUUCGGUUAAGAAGGUGCUUUCAUUUUCGAGGGAUCUUGGAUUAUUUUUUGUGACUCGUCAUUGCAAACCAACAAACCGACCACCUUUAAGUAGCUUUUAUUUCAAAACAACAAGCAUGUUAGAAUAAACACUCUUUUUUUUUCUUUAGUCAAUCUUUUUUUUUCUUUUCUUCAAAAUCAUUCGAUCGAACCUGAUGUGGGUUGCCUAUGUAUCAUGUGGGAACAUAAAUCAGAUCUUACGUAGUUCGGGAAGAUCAGAAAUAAGGUAAAUAAACUAACUCUUUUUGGAUUUUGAUUUGAUUUUUUUUUAAUUUUCAAAAGAAAGACUCAUAAAGAAGAAAGAAAGUAUUUUUGGAUUUUGAUUUGUUUGUUGUUUUUUAAGAAUUUUUGAAAAGUAAGACUUCUAAAGAAGAAAGAAAAUAUUUUUUUAUUGGAAUUUCGAAAGAAAAAUUUCUAAAAAAGAAAGAAAAUAUUCUUGGAUUUUUGAACUUUUAUUUUGAAUUUAUGAAAGAAAUACUUCUAAAGAAAAAAGAAAAUAUUUUUGAUUCUUGAAUUUUCUUUUCAAUUUUCGAAAGAAGAAUAAAAAUAUUUUUGGGUUUUGAGAAGAAAUUAAAAGGAAAAUGUUUUUGUAUUUUAAAAAAAAUUGAGGUGUAAAAGAAAGACUUUCUAAAGAAUGAAGUAAAUGAAAAUAUUUUUGAAUUUUUUGAAAAUUGUUGGCCGGAAUCGAUGAGGUUUGCCUACGUAUCUCACAUCCGGUGAGAAUCAGACCCGCGUAGUUCGGUCAGUUUUGACGCAACAGGAAAAUAUGACUUUUGAAAACAUUGGCUCAUUUUGAAAUGACUUUUCUUUUUCUAUUUUAUUUUUCAAAAUUUCGGCAGAGUUUCGAGAUUUUUUAAAUACCUAAAUUUUUAGAACCGGGUAAAUUUUCUCUCCCGCCUCACUCUUGAUUUUUCUUGAUUUUCUUUCCCUAUUAUAGAAGCCAAUCAACAUGCAAUCCGAAAACAAAUAAAUACACAACUAGCACGUAAAAUGCAUCAUGAUGGUCUUUUAAAUUGGGUACACAUGUCCUAAAUGGACCCAACCCCUGUGUUGAGUCCCCAAAGUCAAAUGCACGUGAUACAAACAAACGUACCUACUAGGGAUCCGGCAUGAGGUUAUGUCAUUCUAGGUUUGAACCCUAGGGUGUAUUGUUCUAGACCUGGCUUACCCGAGCAGACAACUCGAGCCGGGGGGUAGGGGAAGGACAGCGUACCGGGAAUACAUAAGCUUUACCGGCUUUGCAACUUGUCCGAUCCUUAUUCUAAAAUUGAGGGUAUGAAUCUAAGAGAAAAGAAGCAACGCGAAGCGCACGCUUCCCAGAAGAUUUAGAAAACUCAGAGAGAAGAAGUGUGUCGUAACAGUUUUAUAUACAGUUCACGGCAAUAUCAAAGCGGUAAAAAGCGGCAAUUAGAACAUUAGGCCCAAACAUGUAAUAUCAGACAACCAACAACAAGCCAAGUAUAAAAGUCAUCUAAGCUCGAAUUCUGAACCCUGAACCAGAAGUUCUGGGUUCGUGAUUCCCCAACAGAGUCGCUAGAGCUGUCCCACCUCCUUUUUCCCGAGGGAUAGGGAGUUUUUCCAAUUGAAGUGACAUUAUUUAAAAUGAGAUUAUUUAUUUAAUUAGAGUCGCCACUUGGAAUAAUUAUGGUGUCCCAAGUCACCGGUUUAUUUUAAAAUCCCAAAUUGAGGAAAUUUGACUCUGUUUAAAGUCUGCAAAAAAUCAGAAGACCGGGUAAGGAAUUCCGUUAACCCGGGAGAAAGUGUGAGGCACUCCCGAGUUCCGUGGUUUUAGCACGGUCGCUCAACUAUUAAUAAUUGACCUAAUUAUCUGAUUUAAUACAUAUUUGAAGCCUAUUGUGCAUUUUUGACUUUUAAAACCGCUUUUAGUAUUUAUAGAAUCUGCUCAAAUAAGUCGUGAUGUCGCGCACUUGUUUAUUUUUGUACAUAUUGCUAAUCGCGUCACGUGAAACGCACUCGCGACUUACAACAUGUUUAUCAUUAUUAUUUGAAGUUAUGGUCAAAUCGCGUGAAACACGCACUCGAGUUGAGAAUUAUGUAUCAUGACUAUGCCACGGGAACCGUACCCAUAAUCACGAUGAUUUAUUUAUUAAUCGCGCCUAAAGAAGCUACGACGUUCAUGAGAUUACUUUCCUAAAGCUACUUUGAGAUUUGUUGUGACAUGACAUAUGUAAAUUUUUUUGUAAGAUCAGCUAUAGGAUUCAUUGGCAGAUUCAUUUACUUGACUUAAAUGAGAGGAAAUCAAAUAAAAUAAUUCAUAAGAAAGUGGCCAAUUGUAAUUAUUUAAAGAAACUAAGCCAAUUUAUGAAAGGAGAAUGGGUCAAACACGUUUGCUAUUUGAAAAUAAGGCUUCUUUUUGAAGUCUGGCCUGAACGCAAGGGUCUGGCCCCCAUCAUGGCCAAGACUUUUCAACAUCUCAUUUGCGAUUUCAUCAAAAGUUUCCGUGAAAAUUUCAUAAGAGCAAAAUCGCAUAAAUUCCUACUUAAGAUGAUAAUUUCCAGAUUUAGAUCUAAACUUUAAACCAAUCAAUUUCACUUAAUCUAACAUUCAACAGACUUAUCAUUUACCAUAACCCAAGCAUGCUAACAUGUAGAUUCAAACAAAAUUCAUUUUUAUUCAUACGAGCAAAAAUGCAAAGUUCAGAAAGACAUGCAUACCUAGAUUGGAAAUCGAAACAGCUUGAACAAGGACCAAAUAAAGGUCUGAAAAGGAGAUGAUGAAAUUUAAACCACAAAGUGAUAGUAAAAUCAGCAGAACAACAACAACAACUUCCACUUCAGCUCUCAAACAAACUGAGACCCCAGAAAAUGAUUGAAACAGUUUGUAGAAUAGAGAAGAACCAGCUUCUCAACUCUUCUUUUGUCUAUUUUUCUGUUUCAAAUCUCAAUUUUUUUUUCUUCUGAAUUCCAAACCUUUUAGAUAUCUCGUGUGUGUGUGUUAGUGCAGAUGUGAGGACUGUAGAUGAGAGAGUGAGUGGGAGAAUUUUUCCUGUACGGCGGCUGCUAGGGUUAUUUUAUUUUUAGUGGGGAUCCGUAUAUUCUCUAGUGUUGAGAAUGGAAAUGGAGGGGUGAAAUUAGGGUCUCCUACUAAUAGUGCGGGGAGAUGGGUGUUUUAAGAGAAGAGUAUGGGCCAUGCUAUGUGAUGGAUUGAGCUUAUAAAGGGAUGGGCUUGAAACAAUUGCAAAAUUAGUCAUUUUGGACUCAAAUUUUAAUUAAAAUUAAUUUGUGUGGCUAAACUAUUAUAUAUAUUCUACUCACUAAUUGACUAAUGACCUAAUUAAU
rnacentral:lncRNA from 1 species